CUUAGUUUGUGCCACACCCACCCACACUUGUGAUCACGUGCAGCAGCACACGCGCAUCGUCACAGAUCCCACACCCCCACCUUUUUUGUUGUUGUUUUCGACCCUCUUCUAAAGGAAGGCACGCAGACAGUGAGCACUCACCCUCCAAGCACCGACACAUAAGUCACACACGCACUUGAUCUCGUGAUCCACCACCCUCUGCCUUCUCUCACCAACACCCGUUUGCAAUCACGAAGUUCUUUCGCCAACGCAUCAUGCCCGCGGCGUCUUCCCUGCCGGCGAAGCUGGAGGGCUUCGUGCGCACCGAGUUCGAGGACACAUGCCGCCGUCGCUUCUUCUACGGCCUCGCCUUCGACCCCUAUGGCGGAACAGCUGGCCUGUACGACCUCGGCCCCACCAUGUGCGCCAUGAAGAGCAACAUGCUUCAUUUCUGGCGCCAGCACUUCGUGAUCGAGGAGAGCAUGUGCGAGGUGGACACGACCUGCCUCACGCCGGAGGAGGUGUUCAAGGCGUCCGGCCAUGUCACCCGCUUCAACGACGUCAUGGUGCGUGACACCGUCACAGGUGAGUGCAUCCGCGCUGACAAGUUUCUGGAGGAGUGGAGCGAGGCGCAGAUCGAGAAGGACGGCAUUACGGCGGAGCAGAAGGACGAGUUCCUGCACUUGCUGCACGACGCCGCCGGCAUGAACCCCUCCCAGAUCAAGGCGGUGCUAGAGAAGCACGCCAUCAAAUCGCCCAAGGGCAACCCCUUCAGCGACCCCUUCCCCUUCAACCUUAUGUUUGCCACCCACAUCGGGCCGGAGGGCGACCGCCUCGGCUACAUGCGCCCCGAGCUGGCUCAGGGCAUCAUCCUGAAUUUCAAGCGCCUGAUGGACUCCGGCAAUGCGCAGCGCAUGCCGUUUGCCGGUGCUUGCAUCGGGACCGCCUUCCGUAACGAGAUCGCCCCGCGCUCGGCGCUUAUUCGUGUUCGCGAGUUUACGCUGGCGGAGAUCGAGCACUUUGUAAAUCCGAACAACAAGAACCACGAGAAGUUCGACCGGGUCCGCGACGUCGAGAUCUGGGCGUGGCCGCGCAACCUCCAGGCGAGCAACGAGGACCCCAUCCGCAUGACGAUCGGCGAGGCUGUCCAGGCAAAGGUGAUCGACAACCAGACUCUCGGCUACUUCAUUGGACGCGUCGCGCUUUUCCUCACGUCCGUCGGCGUCCGCUUCUACCGCUUCCGCCAGCACCAGUCGACGGAGAUGGCGCACUACGCCCAGGACUGCUGGGACGCGGAGCUGCUUACCUCAUACGGCUGGAUCGAGUGCGUUGGCAUUGCGGACCGCUCUGCGUACGACUUGACGCAGCACAGCAACGCGUCCAAGAAGGACCUGUGCGCGCGUGAGGAGUACAACGAGCCCUGCAUGGAGCGCCAGCUGCUGCGCCAGCUAACGAAGGGCCUCAUCGGCAAGACGUUCGGCAAGAAGGCCGGUGAAGUUAUGGCUUACCUCAACUCCGCCCCAGCGGAGGCGUGCGAGGCGAUUCGCGCCGCCCACGCGGCCGGCCAGCCGGCCACCGUCGCCCUUCCUUCUGGCGAGGAGGUCUCAAUCACGGCGCAGAUGGUGUCGUUUGAGGAGAAGGACGUAAAGGUGACGGGCUACAGCUACACCCCGAGUGUGAUCGAGCCGUCCUUCGGCAUCGGCCGCAUCCUGUACUGCCUGCUGGAGCAGAGCUACUGGGUGCGCCGUGACGAUGGUGGCAAAAAUGACAAGCGCGCCGUCUUCAGCUUCAGCCCGCUUCUGGCGCCGCAGAAGGUGGCCCUGCUGCCGCUCAUGGUGAAGCCGGAGCUGCUCGCCACCAUCUCGGAGAUUCGCCAGGAGCUCGUCAUGCGCGGCAUCUCCGUCCGCGUCGACGACAGCAGUGUCACGAUUGGCAAGAAGUAUGCUCGCGUGGAUGAGCUCGGCAUCCCGUUCGCCAUCACGUGCGACUUCGAGGGAGACGGUAGUGUGACGCUGCGCGAGCGCGACACGGCCUCGCAGGUGCGUGUGCCCAAGUCGGAGGUGGCGUCGAUCGUGGUGGAGCUGUGCAACCCGCUUCAGCCUCUGACAUGGGAUUCCGUGAAGGCCAAGUACCCCGCUCAAGCUGCCGCGGCGGAGAAGUAGGCCUGGCCUCUCUGCAUGUGAGCCGCGCUCGAGAGUGCAUGUGUAUGCUGUGUGCGCAGUAAGGAACGCGAGUGUACACACUCUUCCUCGGUGGGUUGGCAUUUCUAUACACGCAGGCGGCAGAAGAGCGGGUAAGAGGAGGAGAAGCUAGUAGCAGCAGAGCGGUUAGCGUAGUCGCGCGUGCGCCUCCACCAUCUAACGCCCUUCUUUGGCGUUCUCCUCCCCUACACGUUUUCCUGACGUUUUGGGGCUGUUUUCUUUUGUUUUUGGAUAAAAAAUGAGCCGGCAUUUGUACGGGCGCCUGCAUGUGUCUGUGUGUCGGCCGUCUUCAUUUUGUGUCAGGAACUAUCACACCUCUCCCUCUCACCCACCCUCAGCCUACCCCCCCCCCCCCCCCCUUGCAUCCUUUGCCACUUGGGUUCUGAGUCCUUGCCGCUGAAAGCAGCGGCGGCGAGGACGGAGGGAGGAGUGGGUGGGGUGGGGCUGCCGGUGGCACGGUGGUUGCUUCGGCGCUUCUGCGCAGUUUUCUUUCCGUUUGGUGACCCCGUUUUUCUUUUCUAUCGUGUAUGCCCUGUGUGUGCGUGUGUGCGUACGGUGUUUAGGUUGCUGCUUCGUGUGCGUGUGUACAUCUCUGCGUCUGUGUGUGCACUGGUGAUGAGUUCAAAUAAUGAGAGAGGGAGGUGAACGCACGCACACGCACACACACACACACACACACACGCACUGGCCCCCUCUGGAAGCAAGUAAGUGCCGACGCAGACAUACAUGCAUCUAUAUACGAACUGGCGCAUAAAACGGAGGAUAAGGGCACAGGUACGACCUCCUCUUUUUUCUUUUUUCAAUAUUCUCUUUUCAUGUGGGGUAUGACCGGGGGUCCGGUGGGCGGCUGAAAACUCGAGCUCCAUGCUCGCCUCUCAGGUGCCUCUCCUUGCUUGAUGUGUCUCUGCAUCUUCUCCCCCUCUGUUUCUCUAUCGGUGUUGUUCCUGGGCAUUCACACCUGCUGGGCUAAUCCUCCCUUUUUCUCACGGCUGUGUGCCUGAGUCCACAGCUUCCUUCUUGAAGGAGUGCCACCACACCACAACCGCAGCAGCAAUGGAUGUGCAUGAGAAGUGACAGCGCAACUAGAACUGGCUGCUUCGCUUGGUGAUGCUGCUUCUCGGAACGCAAAACCAGAACACUUCGGAUCUGCGUGGAGAACUGUAGAAGAAAGGGUGUAAAAGAGCGUGAAAAAGACGAACGCACAGCGCACACACGGGGUGGGAAGAACUCCGCAGGUGGAGCACAUUAUCUUCUUGUGUUUUCUUUCCGCGUCGCGUUCGUUACCUUUGCGUCCGACCGCGCUGCUCUUUCUGCUUCAUCCGCCCACGACUUGUCUCCUCCCCAACCUUCGCACAUCCUUGACCGUCCCUUCUUCAACGCCGCCACCGCUCUCUCUCUGUGCGUCAUCUCUAUCUUAAUUUGACAGGCACACGUGCAUAAACACCGCCGUCCGUCACGAAGAUGACAGCGUGCAGCACCGAGAAAGCGAAGCAGAGCAACGUAAUGAAAACAAAGG
rnacentral:misc_RNA from 1 species